UCCUCGGUAGUAUAUCGGCUAGUACACCCGCCUGUCAUUUGGUGGCAAACUACCGCGGGAGAGCGGGGUUCGACUCCCCGCCGAGGAG